UAGAGAUAAAGAGACAUUAGAUCAUUUACUCCUUAACUGUAGCUACUCCAAGACUAUGUGGAAUCUCCUCUUAUAUAAUAUGCAUUGCCCGCAACCUCCAUCCAAUUUUCGAGAUAUUUGGAGUAAUUGGACUCACACUUCCGGCCCCAAGGAGGAAGCCACUGGCCUUCUAUGUCUAGCCUCGAUCACCUGUUGGUGUUUGUGGAAGGAGAGCAACAUGAGGAUUUUCAACUUCGAGGUAAAGGCGGUCAUAAAAAUUACUAAACCAAUAGCUACCCUCCUCACUGAGUGG
rnacentral:lncRNA from 1 species